GCCCACUUAGCUCAGUUGGUAGAGCACAUGCAUGGUAAGCAUGAGGUCGCCAGUUCGAUCCUGGCAGUGGGCU
rnacentral:tRNA from 2 species